rnacentral:rRNA from 1 species
GACGAACGCUGGCGGCGUGCCUAAUACAUGCAAGUCGAACGCAGUGGGGACGGGUGAGUAACCCGUGGGUAACCUCCCAUCAGAGGGGAUAACCCUUGGAAACAGGUGCUAAACCGAUACUGAUGGAUGAACCCGCGGUGCAUUAGCUAGUUGGGGAGGGAACGGCUCGCAAAGGCCACGAUGCAUAGCAGACCUGAGAGGGGGAUCGGCCACACUGGGACGGAGACACGGCACAGACUCCUACGGGAGGCAGCAGUAGUGAAUCUGCGGCAAUGGACGAAAGUCUGACCGAGCAACGCCGCGUGAGUGAAGAAGGUGUUCGGAUCGUAAAACUCUGGUGGUAGAGAAGCGGUAUCUAACCAGAAAGCCACGGCUAACUACGUGCCAGCAGCCGCGGUAAUAC